rnacentral:snRNA from 1 species
UUACAUGAGCAGAGGCAGUGUCAUAGCCAGUGGAGGUUCUACUGAGUCGUGACUAUUUCUAGUUGAAAACUUUUUCCAAGACCCCUUUUUACAGUCGUACCUUUUCUUUUAACGUAUGUUGCUUAUUUUUUUAGCAAGAGUGUGCCUU